GAUGAAGAACGUAGCGAAAUGCGAUAAGUAAUGUGAAUUGCAGAAUUCAGUGAAUCAUCGAAUCUUUGAACGCACAUUGCGCCCGCCAGUAUUCUGGCGGGCAUGCCUGUUCGAGCGUCAUUUCAACCCUCAAGACCCCUUCGGGGGACUUGGUGUUGGGGACCGGCACAGGGGCCUGCCUGCUUGUCUUGCAGCGCCCUCGCCGCCCCCGAAAUGAAUUGGCGGCCUCGUCGCGGCCUCCCCUGCGUAGUAGCACAACCUCGCAACGGGAACGUGACGGCGGCCACUGCCGUAAAACAACCCAAUUUUAUUAGAGUUGACCUCGAAUCAGGUAGGAAUACCCGCUGAACUUAAGCAUAUCAAAAGCGGAGGA
rnacentral:misc_RNA from 1 species